rnacentral:rRNA from 2 species
GAUGAACGCUGGCGGCGUGCCUAAUACAUGCAAGUCGAACGAGUUCUGAUUAUUUGAAAGGUGCUUGCAUCUUGAUUUAAUUUUGAACGAGUGGCGGACGGGUGAGUAACACGUGGGUAACCUGCCCUUAAGCGGGGGAUAACAUUUGGAAACAGAUGCUAAUACCGCAUAAAUCCAAGAACCGCAUGGUUCUUGGCUGAAAGAUGGCGCAAGCUAUCGCUUUUGGAUGGACCCGCGGCGUAUUAGCUAGUUGGUGAGGUAACGGCUCACCAAGGCAAUGAUACGUAGCCGAACUGAGAGGUUGAUCGGCCACAUUGGGACUGAGACACGGCCCAAACUCCUACGGGAGGCAGCAGUAGGGAAUCUUCCACAAUGGACGCAAGUCUGAUGGAGCAACGCCGCGUGAGUGAAGAAGGCUUUCGGGUCGUAAAACUCUGUUGUUGGAGAAGAAUGGUCGGCAGAGU